rnacentral:rRNA from 1 species
UACGUAGGCAGCGAGCGUUGUUCGGAGUUACUGGGCGUAAAGCGUGCGUAGGCGGUGUUCCAAGUCUGUUGUGAAAUCUCCCGGCUUAACUGGGAGGGUGCGCCGAAAACUGGAAGGCUUGAGUAUGGGAGAGGUAAGCGGAAUUCCUGGUGUAGCGGUGAAAUGCGUAGAUAUCAGGAGGAACACCUGCGGUGUAGACGGCUUACUGGACCAUAACUGACGCUGAGGCACGAAAGCGUGGGUAGCAAACAGG